AGCUUUGCACAGUGGCAGUAUCGUAGCCAAAGAGAUUUAUCCGAGGUGCGAUUGUUGCUAAUUGAAAAUGUACGAGUGGAGGGAGAAAAGAAUGGUAUAUUUUUUCUUACCCAUAUAUUUUAAGAUAAAAUUUUAC
ensembl:snRNA U4 U4 spliceosomal RNA